rnacentral:rRNA from 1 species
UACGGAGGGGACUAGCGUUGUUCGGAAUUACUGGGCGUAAAGCGCACGUAGGCGGAUUUGUAAGUCAGGGGUGAAAUCCCGGGGCUCAACCUCGGAACUGCCUUUGAUACUGCAAAUCUCGAGUCCGGAAGAGGUGAGUGGAAUUCCUAGUGUAGAGGUGAAAUUCGUAGAUAUUAGGAAGAACACCCGUGGCGAAGGCGGCUCUCUGGAACGCAACUGACGCUGAGACGACGAAAGCGGUGGGGAGCAAACAGG